AUUGAACGCUGGCGGCGGGCCUAAUACAUGCAAGUCGAGCGAAGCGGGGACGGGGGAGUAACACGUGGAUAACCUCCUAUAUGACUGGGAUAACUUCGGGAAACCGGAGCUAAAACCGAUACUUAUAGCUGGUUCCGCGCUGCAUUAGCUAGUUGGUAAGGUAACGGCUUACCAAGGCAACGAUGCAUAGCCGAUCUGAGAGGGUGAUCGGCCACACUGGAACUGAGACACGGUCCAGACUCCUACGGGAGGCAGCAGUAGGGAAUCUUGCGCAAUGGGCGAAAGCCUGACGGAGCAACGCCGCGUGAGUGAUGAAGGUCUUCGGAUUGUAAAGCUCUGUUAGUAGGGAAGCGGUACCUACACAGAAAGCCCCGGCUAACUACGUGCCAGCAGCCGCGGUAAUAC
rnacentral:rRNA from 1 species